rnacentral:rRNA from 1 species
UACGUAGUCAGCAAGCGUUGUUCGGAGUUACUGGGCGUAAAGGGUGUGUAGGCGGUUUUCUAAGUCUGUUGUGAAAUCUCCCGGCUCAACUGGGAGGGUGCGCCGAAAACUGGAAGGCUAGAGUGCGGGAUGGGAGAGUGGAAUUCCUGGUGUAGCGGUGAAAUGCGCAGAUAUCAGGAGGAACACCGGUGGCGAAGGCGGGUCUCUGGGCCGUAACUGACGCUGAGGAGCGAAAGCGUGGGGAGCGAACAGG